UCUGGUGAUUUGUCGCUGGGGUCACACCCGUUCUCAUUCCGAACACGGCAGUUAAGCCCAGUUGAGGCGAUGGUAGUCGCAAGGCGAGAGUAGCUAGUCGCCAGAA
rfam:Candidatus Kaiserbacteria bacterium RIFCSPHIGHO2_01_FTLL_56_24 rifcsphigho2_01_scaffold_24414, whole genome shotgun sequence.